GACGAACGCUGGCGGCGUGCUUAACACAUGCAAGUCGAACGGAAAGGCCCUGCUUUCGUGGGGUUCUCGAGUGGCGAACGGGUGAGUAACACGUGAGUAACCUGCCCUUGACUUUGGGAUAACUUCAGGAAACUGGGGCUAAUACCGGAUAGGAGCUCCUGCUGCAUGGUGGGGGUUGGAAAGUUUCGGCGGUUGGGGAUGGACUCGAUGCUUAUCUGCUUGUUGGUGGGGUAGUGGCUUACCAAGGCUUUGACGGGUAGCCGGCCAGAGAGGGUGACCAGCCACAUUGGGACUAUGGUAGGGCCCGGACUCCUAAGGGAGGCAGAAGUGGGGAACAUUGCACAAUGGGCGGAAGCCUGAUGCAGCAACGCCGCGUGCGGGAUGACGGCCUUCGGGUUGUAAACCGCUUUCGCCUGUGACGAAGCGUGAGUGACGGUAAUGGGUAAAGAAGCACCGGCUAACUACGUG
rnacentral:rRNA from 1 species